AGUGGGAUAGCUGGGCCAAAUGGUGGUUCCAUUCCAAGUUUUCUGAGGAAUCUCCAUACUGCUUUCCAUAUUGGCUGCACCAAUUUGCAGUCCCACCAGCAAU
rnacentral:pre_miRNA from 1 species